UAACCCCUAGUUGACCGCAAUGAUAUUCGUCUUUAUUUAUAUAGGGGUGUGAUUUUCGCGAUAUCAUUUGGUUGGAAAGGUGUGCAUGCUUCCUCUUCGGGAUUUUAGGAUUGAAGGAUUGAUGUCAGAUAUGUAAUCCACCUUUAUGGUGAGCUAUGUCGAGAUACCGAAGGUCCUUGGUGUUACACACGUCUCACUCUGGAGAUGGGAACUGAGUCUGGUCUGUCAUCGUGUAAAGGAAGGAGUUUGGCCAACCCUCAUAUUCUGGGCCUGGAACAUAGAGUUUGAACACUGGAAAUGAUAUCGAUCGUGCUCCAUCGCAAGGCAAUUAAUUGCUAUUGUGGACUCUGUAGUUUUUAUUGGAAAGACCCAUUGAUGUGGAGAGAAAUGUGGGACCACAGGGAUAUUGUUCUGCCUGGGAAGAAGCCUCGGGAUGCAUAAUAGGUUGAUGACAUAGGCCUUGCGGAGCUAUCUAAUACCAAUACGA
rnacentral:sRNA from 1 species